UCUCCGUUGGUGAACCAGCGGAGGGAUCAUUACUGGAAUCGCAAGAUCCCACAACCCUGUGAACCUACCGAAACGUUGCCUCGGCGGGUGCCCGGCCCCCGCGCCGGGCGCUGCUCCCGCCGGCGGCCCCCUACUCUGUCUCUGCAGCGUGGCAUCUCAGAGUCCCAGAAAACAAGUCAAAACUUUCAACAACGGAUCUCUUGGCUCUA
rnacentral:misc_RNA from 1 species